rnacentral:rRNA from 1 species
AUUGAACGCUGGCGGUAUGCUUAAGACAUGCAAGUCGAACGGUAACAGACCUUCGGGUGCUGACGAGUGGCGGACGGGUGAGUAACACGUGGGAAUCUACCUUGUAGUGGGGGAUAAGCCAGGGAAACUUGGACUAAUACCGCAUACGCCCUAAGGGGGAAAGGAGCAAUUCGCUAUAAGAUGAGCCCGCGUCUGAUUAGCUAGUUGGUGAGGUAAAGGCUCACCAAGGCGACGAUCAGUAGCUGGUCUGAGAGGAUGACCAGCCACAUUGGGACUGAGACACGGCCCAGACUCCUACGGGAGGCAGCAGUCGGGAAUAUUGGACAAUGGGGGGCAACCCUGAUCCAGCAAUACCGCGUGUGUGAAGAAGGCCUGCGGGUUGUAGAGCACUUUUAGUAGGGAAGAUAAUGACGUUACCUACAGAAAAAGACACCGGCUAACUCCGUG